UUGACCUCGGAUCAGGUAGGGAUACCCGCUGAACUUAAGCAUAUCAAUAAGCGGAGGAAAAGAAACCAACAGGGAUUACCUCAGUAACGGCGAGUGAAGCGGUAACAGCUCAAAUUUGAAAUCUGGCCUCACGGUCCGAGUUGUAAUUUGUAGAGGAUGCUUCGAGCAUGGUCUGGCCUAAGUUCCUUGGAACAGGACGUCAUAGAGGGUGAGAAUCCCGUAUGCGGCCAGGUGCCUACGCUCAUGUGAAGCUCCUUCGACGAGUCCAGUUGUUUGGAAUGCAAGCU
rnacentral:rRNA from 1 species